rnacentral:rRNA from 1 species
GACGAACGCUGGCGGCGUGCCUAAUACAUGCAAGUAGAACGCACAGGAUGCACCGUAGUUUACUACACCGUAUUCUGUGAGUUGCGAACGGGUGAGUAACGCGUAGGUAACCUGCCUGGUAGCGGGGGAUAACUAUUGGAAACGAUAGCUAAUACCGCAUAAGAACAUUUACUGCAUGGUAGAUGUUUAAAAGGUGCAAAUGCAUCACUACCAGAUGGACCUGCGUUGUAUUAGCUAGUAGGUGAGGUAACGGCUCACCUAGGCGACGAUACAUAGCCGACCUGAGAGGGUGAUCGGCCACACUGGGACUGAGACACGGCCCAGACUCCUACGGGAGGCAGCAGUAGGGAAUCUUCGGCAAUGGGGGGAACCCUGACCGAGCAACGCCGCGUGAGUGAAGAAGGUUUUCGGAUCGUAAAGCUCUGUUGUUAAGGAAGAACGAGUGUGAGAAUGGAAAGUUCAUACUG